CCUACGGGUGGCAGCAGUGGGGAAUAUUGGGCAAUGGGCGCAAGCCUGACCCAGCAACGCCGCGUGAAGGAAGAAGGCUUUCGGGUUGUAAACUUCUUUUCUCAGGGACGAAGCAAGUGACGGUACCUGAGGAAUAAGCCACGGCUAACUACGUGCCAGCAGCCGCGGUAAUACGUAGGCGGCAAGCGUUAUCCGGAUUUACUGGGUGUAAAGGGCGUGUAGGCGGGACAGCAAGUCAGAUGUGAAAACCACGGGCUUAACCCGUGGCCUGCAUUUGAAACUGUAGUUCUUGAGUACUGGAGGGGCAGACGGAAUUCCUAGUGUAGCGGUGAAAUGCGUAGAUAAUAGGAGGAACACCAGUGGCGAAGGCGGUCUGCUGGACAGCAACUGACGCUGAGG
rnacentral:rRNA from 1 species